AUUGAACGCUGGCGGCAUGCCUAACACAUGCACGUCGCACGAGUGGCGGACGGGUGAGUAAUGUCUCGGAAACUGCCUGAUAGAGGGGGAUAACUACUGGAAACGGUAGCUAAUACCGCAUACCCUUGGCUGUGCCCAGAUGGGAUUAGCUAGUAGGUGGGGUAAAGGCUCACCUAGGCAACGAUCCCUAGCUGGUCUGAGAGGAUGACCAGCCACACUGGAACUGAGACACGGUCCAGACUCCUACGGGAGGCAGCAGUGGGGAAUAUUGAACAAUGGGCGCAAGCCUGAUGCAGCCAUGCCGCGUGUAUGAUGAAGGCCUUCGGGUUGUAAAGUACUUUCAGCGGGGAGGCGGUACCUGCAGAAGAAGCACCGGCUAACUCCGUGCCAGCAGCCGCGGUAAUUC
rnacentral:rRNA from 1 species